rnacentral:lncRNA from 10 species
GUCCUAGUCCCCGCCACACACAGGUCGUGGGUUCUCCUUUGAGAGUGACCACUGGUUCCUAGAGCUUUUCCUAAACUGGAGACGGAUCCUGCCCUGGGGGUCUCAGUCACCGCGAGGACUCGAGGGUAACUGCCAGAGGUCCCAGGUGGCCCGAGGGCUAUUUUAAAAUAUUUUCUGUUUCCUUGAUUUCUCCUCCUUUGGAUGUAUUGGGCUUCCUGACUCUUUGAAGAAUCUAUCCAGUGUCUUUAAGAUAGCAAAACUAAGUGUCAAAAGCACCUUCUGCACACAGUCUGCACACACUGGCCGGUGGUCCUGUUCCCGCAAGGUUGAGCUGUGUUCCAGAGACAUGGGUCCUCCGGGUGAUGAGGAGCCGCUGGAGGGCCCUGAGCUGCACGUGCUAAUGAUUAACGCCCCGUCCGUGCUGGCCGGUUUCUCAAAUGCCUCCUGACGAUUGCGCACAGCCGGACAUCAUUUGUACUGAGAGACAAAAGGAAAUCACUGAGGCUUUCUGAGGUGAGCUGGGCGGCCGC